AUUGAACGCUGGCGGCAGGCCUAACACAUGCAAGUCGAGCGGCAGCGGAAAGUAGCUUGCUACUUUGCCGGCGAGCGGCGGACGGGUGAGUAAUGUCUGGGAAACUGCCUGAUGGAGGGGGAUAACUACUGGAAACGGUAGCUAAUACCGCAUAAUGUCGCAAGACCAAAGAGGGGGACCUUCGGGCCUCUUGCCAUCAGAUGUGCCCAGAUGGGAUUAGCUAGUAGGUGGGGUAAUGGCUCACCUAGGCGACGAUCCCUAGCUGGUCUGAGAGGAUGACCAGCCACACUGGAACUGAGACACGGUCCAGACUCCUACGGGAGGCAGCAGUGGGGAAUAUUGCACAAUGGGCGCAAGCCUGAUGCAGCCAUGCCGCGUGUAUGAAGAAGGCCUUCGGGUUGUAAAGUACUUUCAGCGAGGAGGAAGGCAUCAAGGUUAAUAACCUUGGUGAUUGACGUUACUCGCAGAAGAAGCACCGGCUAACUCC
rnacentral:rRNA from 1 species